CCUCGUAAUCAUCGAAACAAAAGCCUGAUCGUCCUUAUCUGCCACCAAACGGAUAGGUUGAUGAGUUUUACACCUCUGCACAGAACCCAAAGCUGUGAUCUUUAUAUGAAGGUAGUAUAGUUGUACUCUUUUUCUCUCUUGAUUCAGGCAAAUUUGCAUCAUCUUACUGGUGCACACUCCACUGUAUAGCUGCACUUAGAAGAGCAAACAUUGAUCCGGCUGUUGUGGAAGAGGUCUUCUUUUGAAAUGUCUUAACCGCCAAUCUUGGGCAAGCACCAGCAAGACAGGCUGCACUUGGAGCUGGGAUUCCCUAUUCAGUUGUCUGCACCACUGUCAACAAAGUCUAUGCUUCAGGAAUGAAAGGUGUUAGAGAGCAAAGAAGGGAAAGUAUGGAGUGGCAUCAGUAUGCAACCGAGGAGGAGGAGCAUCAGCGCUUGUUCUUGAGUUCAUGUAAGCUUCUUCUUUAACUCUGGUCGGAGAAGACAAUAGGGUAUUCAGCACUCUGAAGCCAAUAGAUGUUGUUACAGAACGCAAAGCGUGACUAUGCGGUUAAUAUUCCGUCUCAUGAGACUGCUUAACUUUGAAUUUGAGAGA